rnacentral:rRNA from 1 species
UAGUAACGGCGAGUGAAGAGGGAAAAGCCCAAAUUUUGAAUCUGGUGUCUUUGACUCCCGAGUUGUAAUCUAGAGAAGUGUUUUCCGCGUUGGACCGUGUACAAGUUCCCUGGAACGGGGCGUCAUAGAGGGUGAGAAUCCCGUAUAUGCCACGGACUACCAAUGCUCUGUGAUACACUCUCAACGAGUCGAGUUGUUUGGGAAUGCAGCUCAAAAUGGGUGGUAAAUUCCAUCUAAAGCUAAAUAUUGGCGAGAGACCGAUAGCGAACAAGUACCGUGAGGGAAAGAUGAAAAGCACUUUGGAAAGAGAGUGAAACAGUACGUGAAAUUGUUGAAAGGGAAGCGUUUGAAGUCAGUCACGUCUGUCGGAAUUCAGCCUGGCUUCUGCCUGGUGUACUUUCCGUCCGACGGGUCAGCAUCAAUUUUGAUCGAGGGAAAAAGACAUGAGGAAUGUGGCUGUCUUCGGGCAGUGUUAUAGACUCGUGUUGUAUGUCUCGGUUGGGAUUGAGGAACGCAGCGCGCCUAUUGGCCGGGGGUUCGCGCCCCUCGGUACGCGCUUAGGA